CGGCAACAGCUCAAAUUUGAAAUCUGGCCUCCUCCGGGGUCCGAGUUGUAAUUUGCAGAGGAUGCUUCGGCGUCGCCCCGGUCUAAGUUCCUUGGAACAGGACGUCACAGAGGGUGAGAAUCCCGUACGUGACCGGCGGCCUAGCCAUGUGAAGCUCCUUCGAC
rnacentral:rRNA from 1 species